rnacentral:rRNA from 1 species
CAAAAUGGGAGGUAAAUUUCUCCUAAGGCUAAAUAUUGGCGAGAGACCGAUAGCGAACAAGUACCGUGAGGGAAAGAUGAAAAGAACUUUGAAAAGAGAGUAAAACAGUACGUGAAAUUGUUGAAAGGAAAACGAUUGAAGUCAGUCGUACCGACGUGAAAUCAACUCUUCGAGUGCGGGCUUGUGGGCUGCGAGUGUCUCGCUGUUUGCAACGUCUGUGCUUUUUGGAUGUACUUUUUCGUAUGGUAGGCCAACAUCAGUUUCGAUCAUUAUAAAAUGACUGGAAGAAUGUAGCUUCGAUUUCGGUUGAAGUGUUAUAGCCUUUGGUAGAUGUGGUGAUAGGGACUGAGGAUUGCAACGAAUACCCUUCGGGCUAUCCGUCUGACCUCUGAAAGUUGCUUAGGUGCCGAAAGCGUGCUUACGGUCAUUUAACACAACGGUCAAAAGGUUAGAACGUGAUUACA